rnacentral:rRNA from 1 species
GUGAGGAAUAUUGGACAAUGGAGGCAACUCUGAUCCAGCCAUGCCGCGUGCAGGAAGACUGCCCUAUGGGUUGUAAACUGCUUUUAUACAGGAAGAAACACUCUCACGUGUGAGAGCUUGACGGUACUGUAAGAAUAAGGAUCGGCUAACUCCGUGCCAGCAGCCGCGGUAAUACGGAGGGUCCAAGCGUUAUCCGGAAUCAUUGGGUUUAAAGGGUCCGUAGGUGGAUAAUUAAGUCAGAGGUGAAAUCCUGCAGCUCAACUGUAGAACUGCCUUUGAUACUGCUAGUCUUGAGUUAUUAUGAAGUAGUUAGAAUAUGUAGUGUAGCGGUGAAAUGCAUAGAUAUUACAUAGAAUACCAAUUGCGAAGGCAGAUUACUAAUAAUAUACUGACACUGAGGGACGAAAGCGUGGGGAGCGAACAGGAUUAGAAACCCCAGUAGUCC